UACGGAAGGGGCAAGCGUUGUUCGGAAUCAUUGGGCCUAAAGCAUCCGUAGCCGGUUUUACAAGUCCUCCGUUAAAUCCAGCUGCUUAACAGAUGGGCUGCGGAGGAUACUAUAAGACUAGGAGGCAGGAGAGGCAAGCGGUACUCAGUGGGUAGGGGUAAAAUCCGUUGAUCCAUUGAAGACCACCAGUGGCGAAGGCGGCUUGCCAGAAUGCGCUCGACGGUGAGGGAUGAAAGCUGGGGGAGCAAACCGG
rnacentral:rRNA from 1 species